rnacentral:rRNA from 1 species
UUAAGCGACUAAGCGUACACGGUGGAUGCCCUGGCAGUCAGAGGCGAUGAAGGACGUGCUAAUCUGCGAUAAGCGCCGGUAAGGUGAUAUGAACCGUUAUAACCGGCGAUUUCCGAAUGGGGAAACCCAGUGUGAUUCGUCACACUAUCAUUAACUGAAUCCAUAGGUUAAUGAGGCGAACCGGGGGAACUGAAACAUCUAAGUACCCCGAGGAAAAGAAAUCAACCGAGAUUCCCCCAGUAGCGGCGAGCGAACGGGGAGGAGCCCAGAGCCUGAAUCAGCAUGUGUGUUAGUGGAAGCGUCUGGAAAGGCGCGCGAUACAGGGUGACAGCCCCGUACACAAAAGCGCAUGUGCUGUGAGCUCGAUGAGUAGGGCGGGACACGUGGUAUCCUGUCUGAAUAUGGGGGGACCAUCCUCCAAGGCUAAAUACUCCUGACUGACCGAUAGUGAACCAGUACCGUGAGGGAAAGGCGAAAAGAACCCCGGCGAGGGGAGUGAAAAAGAACCUGAAACCGUGUACGUACAAGCAGUGGGAGCACAGGUUUACCUGUGUGACUGCGUACCUUUUGUAUAAUGGGUCAGCGACUUAUAUUCUGUAGCAAGGUUAACCGAAUAGGGGAGCCGGAGGGAAACCGAGUCUUAAUUGGGCGUUAAGUUGCAGGGUAUAGACCCGAAACCCGGUGAUCUAGCCAUGGGCAGGUUGAAGGUUGGGUAACACUAACUGGAGGACCGAACCGACUAAUGUUGAAAAAUUAGCGGAUGACCUGUGGCUGGGGGUGAAAGGCCAAUCAAACCGGGAGAUAGCUGGUUCUCCCCGAAAGCUAUUUAGGUAGCGCCUCGUGAAUUCAUCUCCGGGGGUAGAGCACUGUUUCGGCUAGGGGGCCAUCCCGGCUUACCAACCCGAUGCAAACUGCGAAUACCGGAGAAUGUUAUCACGGGAGACACACGGCGGGUGCUAACGUCCGUCGUGAAGAGGGAAACAACCCAGACCGCCAGCUAAGGUCCCAAAGUCAUGGUUAAGUGGGAAACGAUGUGGGAAGGCCCAGACAGCCAGGAUGUUGGCUUAGAAGCAGCCAUCAUUUAAAGAAAGCGUAAUAGCUCACUGGUCGAGUCGGCCUGCGCGGAAGAUGUAACGGGGCUAAACCAUGCACCGAAGCUGCGGCAGCGACGCUGAUGUGUUGUUGGGUAGGGGAGCGUUCUGUAAGCCUGCGAAGGUGGCCUGUGAGGGUUGCUGGAGGUAUCAGAAGUGCGAAUGCUGACAUAAGUAACGAUAAAGCGGGUGAAAAGCCCGCUCGCCGGAAGACCAAGGGUUCCUGUCCAACGUUAAUCGGGGCAGGGUGAGUCGACCCCUAAGGCGAGGCCGAAAGGCGUAGUCGAUGGGAAACGGGUUAAUAUUCCCGUACUUGGUGUUACUGCGAAGGGGGGACGGAGAAGGCUAUGUUGGCCGGGCGACGGUUGUCCCGGUUUAAGCGUGUAGGUGUGUGUUCCAGGUAAAUCCGGUUCACUUUAACACUGAGGCGUGAUGACGAGGCACUACGGUGCUGAAGCAACAAAUGCCCUGCUUCCAGGAAAAGCCUCUAAGCAUCAGGUAACAUCAAAUCGUACCCCAAACCGACACAGGUGGUCAGGUAGAGAAUACCAAGGCGCUUGAGAGAACUCGGGUGAAGGAACUAGGCAAAAUGGUGCCGUAACUUCGGGAGAAGGCACGCUGACACGUAGGUGAAGUGAUUUACUCACGGAGCUGAAGUCAGUCGAAGAUACCAGCUGGCUGCAACUGUUUAUUAAAAACACAGCACUGUGCAAACACGAAAGUGGACGUAUACGGUGUGACGCCUGCCCGGUGCCGGAAGGUUAAUUGAUGGGGUCAGCGCAAGCGAAGCUCCUGAUCGAAGCCCCGGUAAACGGCGGCCGUAACUAUAACGGUCCUAAGGUAGCGAAAUUCCUUGUCGGGUAAGUUCCGACCUGCACGAAUGGCGUAAUGAUGGCCAGGCUGUCUCCACCCGAGACUCAGUGAAAUUGAACUCGCUGUGAAGAUGCAGUGUACCCGCGGCAAGACGGAAAGACCCCGUGAACCUUUACUAUAGCUUGACACUGAACAUUGAGCCUUGAUGUGUAGGAUAGGUGGGAGGCUUUGAAGUGUGGACGCCAGUCUGCAUGGAGCCAACCUUGAAAUACCACCCUUUAAUGUUUGAUGUUCUAACGUGGACCCGUUACCCGGGUUGCGGACAGUGUCUGGUGGGUAGUUUGACUGGGGCGGUCUCCUCCUAAAGAGUAACGGAGGAGCACGAAGGUUGGCUAAUCCUGGUCGGACAUCAGGAGGUUAGUGCAAUGGCAUAAGCCAGCUUGACUGCGAGCGUGACGGCGCGAGCAGGUGCGAAAGCAGGUCAUAGUGAUCCGGUGGUUCUGAAUGGAAGGGCCAUCGCUCAACGGAUAAAAGGUACUCCGGGGAUAACAGGCUGAUACCGCCCAAGAGUUCAUAUCGACGGCGGUGUUUGGCACCUCGAUGUCGGCUCAUCACAUCCUGGGGCUGAAGUAGGUCCCAAGGGUAUGGCUGUUCGCCAUUUAAAGUGGUACGCGAGCUGGGUUUAGAACGUCGUGAGACAGUUCGGUCCCUAUCUGCCGUGGGCGCUGGAGAACUGAGGGGGGCUGCUCCUAGUACGAGAGGACCGGAGUGGACGCAUCACUGGUGUUCGGGUUGUCAUGCCAAUGGCACUGCCCGGUAGCUAAAUGCGGAAGAGAUAAGUGCUGAAAGCAUCUAAGCACGAAACUUGCCCCGAGAUGAGUUCUCCCUGAGACUUAGAGUCUCCUGAAGGAACGUUGAAGACGACGACGUUGAUAGGCCGGGUGUGUAAGCGCAGCGAUGCGUUGAGCUAACCGGUACUAAUGAACCGUGAGGCUUAACCUU